UCUUGUGGAAGUGGAAGCGUAAUUGUGAUUUGUCUCGAGUGCAAGUGUCACAAGAAUGCAUUUCUAGAUCAACAUUGGAAAACAAAAGUCAUAUACUGAAAAAAAGUUUUCAUAGCUCCUCGUACAAAGAGUUUUCUGAAAAUAAUUAGAAGUAAUUCCAAAUUGUGAACAUGGUCGGCGAGCAAGUCUCGAGUGCCUUUCGCAUUCUCAAUUCAGUUUUCAAUGGAACGCGAAUGGAACAACAACACGCCGCCGCGACUGAAGCCGCUUGUUAAAGCGCCCAUCAUCAUCGCCACCGCAAACCUCAUCGGGCGAGGAGGAUUUCUACCAGUGCGCCGUCAGCAUCUCGCUACCAGAGGCAAGCACUUGAUCAUCAAGCGGCGGCAAAAUACCAGCGUCCGGAUUGUGAAAUCGCUCAAGAUUUCUCAAUGGACUCGCGCUUCCAGAAUUGGCGCUGCAGGAAUCGGGGCGCAAAGUGACUGUAAAGAAUCAACAGGGCAGUCGAUGUGUGGUGAGUUCCGUAUCACCCGUUCCUGCCAAUGCGGAUGACAUGAAUUUGACAUUGGACCGCGUACGGGAGGGAACGAAGGUUGAUUGAGAGAACGAAGGAGGGGUCAAAAUAGAAUUCGUCAUUGUGUUCACAAAUAGGCAGUUUUCGCUGUGCAAACCAUCACAAUUUAUCGAACAUUUAUUUGGAGAAACAAGUAGUAAUAUCUUGAAUUAAAUAGGUAAAUUGAUUAUUCUAAUUUGGAACUUAGUAGCUAAUUUAAACUUAUUAUAGAUUCUAAAAAUAAUAGUACGGAGUUGCUGAACUACUGAAUUGCUUUGUUCGCGAAUUGAAACUUCUGUUCGUAAGUCAUGCAUUAUACCCAAAAAAUGUACGUAAAUAUUAUAAACUGAAAUUUGUUAAACCUAGAUAAGCGAUUCCUACAAUUAGUUCAGAACGGUUCACGAAGUGUUUCGGGGUAGCAUAGGAAGGACACGAAAUGUAAGUCCAAUGUAAGGUAACACUGAAUUGAACUAUAAUCAAGAAUUAAUACAAUUACAGCUUGAAGCUGCAUUUGCUGCUGAAAAGA